AGACUGCUGUGCUAGCAAUCAGCGAGACUCCGUGGGCGUAGGACCCUCCGAGCCAGAGAUGGGAUCUUACUACAUUGCCCAGGCUGAAGUGCAGUGGCUAUUAACAGCUGUAAUCAUAAUGCAUUGCAGCUUUGAAUUCCUGGGCUUGAGCGACCUCCCCACCUUAGCCUCCUGAGUAGCUGAGACUACAGAUGUGCCUUGCUUCUCCUUCAUUUUCUGCCAUGACUGUAAGUUCCCUGAGGCCUUCCCAUCCAUGUGGAACUGCACUGUCCUAGGUACUGUGGGGACCAAAACAUUCAGACCUGCUUCUAAGGAGUGCAGUCCAUGGAAGAGUCAGAAUAACAAAUCAACAUUUGUACUACACCAGACCAGCUCUCUUCUAAGGUUGCUAUGACUUCCCAGCAGAAGGAAAUAAACUUAAGGAGAAAGAAGAAACAAAGAUGGGGCGGAAAUGUAAGAGAGGCAUUCUAAUAUAUGCAUUCUUCAUAACAACUGUGUGAAACAUAUUAAUAUCCUCAUUGUUAACGAUGAAGAAACUAAAUCUCAGGAAGAAAAACUAAGUGAAGACAAAAGAAGGAUUUGAACUGAGAUUAUUCUGGGAGAUUCUGGGAGUCUUUUCUCCAACACUCCAGUGGCAUCUGACUAUGUGAGCUGAUAAGAUCUAUAGAUCUUCUCAGGUAUGUCUUCAUCAGCAGCAUGAAAAUAGACUAAUACAGUAAAUUGGUAUCAGUAGAAUGGGGUGCUGUGGAAAAGAUACCUGAAAAUGUGGAAGCAACAUUGGAACUGGGUAACAGGCAGAGGUUGGAACAGUUUGGAGGAUUCAGAAGAAGAGAGGAAAAUGUGG
ensembl:lncRNA KCNMB2-AS1 KCNMB2 antisense RNA 1